rnacentral:rRNA from 1 species
GAUGAACGCUGGCGGCGUGCCUAAUACAUGCAAGUCGAGCGGACAGACGAGGAGCUUGCUGCUCUGACGUUAGCGGCGGAGGGGUGUGAAACACGUGGAUAACCUACCUAUCAGACGGGGAAAACCAGGGGACAGCGGAGAUAAUACGGGAUAAGAUAUUGAACCGCGGGGGGCGAUAGUGAAAGACGGCUUUGCUGGCACGUAUAGCUGGAUCCGCGCCGCAUUGGCUAGUUGGUAAGGUAACGGCUUAUCAAGGCGACCAUGCGUGUCCGACCUGAGGGGGUGAUCGGCCACACUAGAACGUAGACACGGUCCAUACUCCUACGGGACGCAGCAGUAGGGAAUCUUCCGCAAUGGUCGAAAGCCUGACGCAGCAACGCCGCGUGAGUGAUGAAGGUCUUCGGUUCGUAAAACUCUCUUAUUAGUUAAGAACAAAUGUGUAAGUAACUAUGCACGUCUUGACGGUACCUAAUCAGAAAGCCACGGCUAACUACGUG